UCCAGCUCCCGCUCAGCUGCAGUCGACGCGUUAGGCCCAAUUGAUUAGAUGGUGCUUGCACCUGAUUGAUUUUGGUCGCCAACGAGUGGCGGACGGGUGAGUAACACGUAUGUAACCUGCCCAGAAGCGGGGGACAACAUUUGGAAACAGAUGCUAAUACCGCAAAACAACGUUGUUCGCAUGAACAACGCUUAAAAGAUGGCUUCUCGCUAUCACUUCUGGAUGGACCUGCGGUGCAUUAGCUUGUUGGUGGGGUAACGGCCUAACAAGGCAAUGAUGCAUACCCGAGUUGAGAGACUGAUCGGCCACGAUGGGACUGAGACACGGCCCAUACUCCUACGGGAGGCAGCAGUAGGGAAUCUUCCACAAUGGGCGCAAGCCUGAUGGAGCAACACCGCGUGAGUGAAGAAGGGUUUCGGUUCGUAAAGCUCUGUUGUUAAAGAACAACACGUAUGAGAGUAACUGUUCAUACGUUGACGGUAUUUAACCCGAAAGUCACGGCUAACUACGUGCCAGCAGCCGCGGUAAUACGUAGGUGGCAAGCGUUAUCCGGAUUUAUUGGGCGUAAAGAGAGUGCAGGCGGUUUUCUAAGUCUGAUGUGAAAGCCUUCGGCUUAACCGGAGAAGUGCAUC
rnacentral:rRNA from 2 species